rnacentral:rRNA from 1 species
AGGCGCUUUCGGGUGUCGCUGAUGGAUGGACCCGCGGUGCAUUAGCUAGUUGGUGAGGUAACGGCUCACCAAGGCCACGAUGCAUAGCCGACCUGAGAGGGUGAUCGGCCACACUGGGACUGAGACACGGCCCAGACUCCUACGGGAGGCAGCAGUAGGGAAUCUUCGGCAAUGGACGAAAGUCUGACCGAGCAACGCCGCGUGAGUGAAGAAGGUUUUCGGAUCGUAAAACUCUGUUGUUAGAGAAGAACAAGGACGUUAGUAACUGAACGUCCCCUGACGGUAUCUAACCAGAAAGCCACGGCUAACUACGUG